ACAUGCCUACAACUUAGCGUUAAUGCACCGGAUCCCAUUAGAACUUCGUAGUUAAGCGUGUUUGGGCUAGAGUAGUACUGGGAUGGGCGACAGCCCGGGAAGUCCUAGUAUUUUACAUGCC
rnacentral:rRNA from 1 species